ACUUAGCCAGUAAAACAGCAACAACAAAGAGCAUUAAAAGAAAAUAAGUAACCGGAAGUAUAGACUAGCUUCAUUAUUUUAUUUUGCUUUUUUAUGUAUUUUAACCACAGAAAUGGAGGAAGAUCAGUUUGUGAAUGAAGAACAGUUCUUUAGAACAAUGCAUUGAGGUGAUUUUUCUUCUUUCAGUGUGAAUCUGAGAAAACACCAGCAUUAACACCACACUAAAAGCCAGCAUUUAGGAAACCCCCCUGCAUUAAAGCAUAUAUCCAUGUAAUUGUGAAGCGUAUUAUCUCCUUUUGUUUUGUGAACUCAGAUUUUCAUAUUAUGGUUUUACUUAAGCAAAAUUUAGCUGCAUUUAAAAGAAUCACUCUCUACUGUCUCCCUUUAGGUUGUUAACCACAAAGACCCAGAAAAAUUCUUAAAAAUGAAUUUGUCUGCCACUGCCAUAAAAAAUUCUACUGCUCAUUUAUUUAUUCAUUUAUUUAAGAAAUAUUUAUUUAAUGGCUGCCAUAUAUCGGAUGGUAAGGUAAAUAAGACAGAUGAGACCUACCAUCACAUAAUAUAUAGUCCUUCCUCCCUCCCCCAUCCCCAAAACUUGGAAACGACAGGUCCACGCUGGAUUUGGCAAUAACUUUUUUAUACACUGUAGUCCAGAAAUCAGAGCUUUUCCUUCCUAGAAAAUCAACAUCCUCAAAAUGCCUAUGAAAUACCCUCUAAAGCAGCAGUAGGCCCCUAGUCCAGUCGUGUUCCCUGCCCUGCAAAUAGCAAAUGAACUUUCAGGAUAUUCCUUUUUCUGUCAACUGCCACCUGAUCCAGCAGAGAAAGGAGCGCGGGACUAGGAACCAACUAGAUGUUACAUGCCUGCCAGUUGGUAUUCCCACUUAUGCUGACCGUGUCCUGACACAGGAGAAUUGUGGCCCCAUUUCCAUUUAUUUGCAGGGAGCACGUGCAGUCAGAGAAGCCAGGAGGCUGAGUGGACCAGCCUCUUUUCUACAUCCCAGUCUAGAGAUGGGCAGUACAGACUGUGAGAAGCCAGUGAAAGGCAAUAGCUUCUUCUUGGCCAUGAAUUUCCAGGUAUCCAGGAUACCAAGCCACACUAAUCACUGCAUCAUACCUAGUGAUUUGAUUCUGCAGAUAUUGCUUAUUAAAACAGCUGACAGCCAACCAAUUUAUUUGGAAAGAUCUGCUCAUUGGCUUUAAACAGCAAAGGCUGUGUUAGGGGAAGAUGCACAUUCUUCAAAUUGGAAGGGAAAGAUCUGUAGAUAUUAUCACGUCCUUGAAAAGAAGGGCUCAAUCUACUUUCUUCCUUGUCUCCACCAGGCAACUAAUUUCUGGCUGGUAACCUCCAUUGGAUGAAGCUAACUGGAAGCCAGAAGGCAAGGAAGCCCAUUAAUGGAUCCCAUAAAGGGUUUCCCUGGUGCCUCGGUGGUAAAGAAUCCACCUGCCAAUGCAGGAGAUGCAGAUUUGAUUCCUGGUCCCGGAAGAUCCCACGUGCCACAGAGGAACUAAGUCCAUGCGCCAAAACUAUUGAGCUUGUGCUCUAGAGCCCGGGAGCACAACUCAGUGAGCCCCAGAGCCUGUGCUCUGAAACAAGAGGAGCCACCACAGUGAGAAGCCCACGCAGCACAACUAAAUAAAAUUAUUUUGAAAACCUAUCAUGUAGACAAACAGUGAUUGCAUUACCUAUACACUAAAGUUUUAAACUAUGAAAGAAAAUAGCACCGUGGUUAAGCAUGCCUGCGCUGGAAUCAGAGCACCUGGAUUCUAAAGCAAAUUCUGCAAUGUAUCAAUUUUUGUUGUUGUUCAGUCACCUAGUUGUGUCUGACUCUUCGAGACCCCAUGGACUGCCGCAUGCCAGGCUUUUUUGUCCCUCACCAUCUCCUGGAGCGUGCCCAAGUUCAUGUCUGUUGUAUCAAUAAAUGUACCAUUUAUUUUCA